rnacentral:rRNA from 1 species
GACGAACGCUGGCGGCGCGCUUAACACAUGCAAGUCGAACGGAAAGGCCUGCUUUCCCUUGUGGAUUGCGGGUACUCGAGUGGCGAACGGGUGAGUAACACGUGAGUGAUCUGCCCCCAACUUGGGUAUAAGCCUGGGAAACUGGGUCUAAUUCCCGAUAGGACUGCAGGGUGGUGCCUGUGGUGGAAAACGAUUUUCUAGUGGUUGGGGAUGAGCUCGCGGCCUAUCAGCUUGUUGGUGGGGUAAUGGCCUACCAAGGCGGCGACGGGUAGCCGGCCUGAGAGGGUGGACGGCCACAUUGGGACUGAGAUACGGCCCAGACUCCUACGGGAGGCAGCAGUGGGGAAUAUUGCACAAUGGGCGGAAGCCUGAUGCAGCGACGCCGGGUGGGGGAUGACGGCCUUCGGGUUGUAAACUCCUUUCGACCGCGAGGAAGCCACCUGGUUGGAAGGGUGGUGACGGUAGUGGUAGAAGAAGCACCGGCUAACUACGUG